UACGUAGGGUGCAAGCGUUGUCCGGAAUUAUUGGGCGUAAAGAGCUCGUAGGCGGUUUGUCGCGUCUGCUGUGAAAACUCAGGGCUUAACUCUGAGCUUGCAGUGGGUACGGGCAGACUAGAGUGCGGUAGGGGAGACUGGAAUUGCUGGUGUAGCGGUGAAAUGCGCAGAUAUCAGGAGGAACACCGGUGGCGAAGGCGGGUCUCUGGGCCGUAACUGACGCUGAGGAGCGAAAGCAUGGGGAGCGAACAGG
rnacentral:rRNA from 1 species